rnacentral:tRNA from 1 species
GGAGAGGUGACCGAGUGGUUGAAGGUACCGGUCUUGAAAACCGGCAAGGGCGCAAGCCCUUCGUGGGUUCGAAUCCCACCCUCUCCGCCA